rnacentral:rRNA from 1 species
AUUGAACGCUGGCGGCAGGCCUAACACAUGCAAGUCGAGCGAGCGGCGGACGGGUGAGUAAUGUCUGGGAAACUGCCUGUUGGAGGGGGAUAACUACUGGAAACGGUAGCUAUUACAGCAUACCAUCAGAUGUGCCCAGAUGGGAUUAGCUAGUAGGGGGGGUAACGGCUCACCUAGGCGACGAUCCCUAGCGGGGCUGAGAGGAUGAUCAGCCAAACUGGGACUGAGACACGGUCCAGACUCCUACGGGAGGCAGCAGUGGGGAAUAUUGCACAAUGGGCGCAAGCCUGAUGCAGCCAUGCCGCGUGUGUGAAGAAGGCCUUCGGGUUGUAAAGCACUUUCAGUGGGGAGGCGGUACCCGCAGAAGAAGCACCGGCUAACUCCGUGCCAGCAGCCGCGGUAAUUC